rnacentral:rRNA from 1 species
AUUGAACGCUGGCGGCAGGCCUAACACAUGCAAGUCGAGCGGAGCGGCGGACGGGAGAGCAAUGCCUAGGAAUCUGCCUGGUAGUGGGGGAUAAAGUACGGAAACGGGCGCUCAUCCCGACUACGAUCAGAUGGGCCAACUUCGGAUUAGCUAGUUGGUGGGGUAAAUGCUUACCAAGGCGACGAUCCGUAACUGGUCUGAGAGGAUGCACAGUCACCAUGGAACUGAGACCCGUUCCAGACUCCUACGGGAGGCAGCCGUGGGGAAUAUUGGACAAUGGGCGAAAGCCUGCUCCAGCCAGGCCGCGUGUGUGAAGAAGGUCUUCGGAUUGUAAAGCACUUUAAGUUGGGAGGCGUUACCAACAGAAUAAGCACCGGCGAACGUCGUGCCAGCAGCCGCGGUAAUAC